CAGGGUCGGGCCGCCCGGGCUCGGGCUCCUCUCCUCGAGCUAGGCCCGGCGGGGUCGGGGUCCGGGGCCCAGGCUGGGAUCCCUCCUCCGGCCUGCUCUCGUCCCCUCGGGAGGAGACCGAGGGAGGCGAAGGCACCGAGCCGGGAGUGGAAAGAGGCUCCCCCCGAGGCCUGCCGGGCCACGCCAGCGGGAGCCCCAGGCCAGGCGCGGCUCCCCGGCCCCGCGCCAGCCUUCUGGAGGCGGAAGGGCGGACCGCGGGCGCUUCCGGUCCCCGCGCUCCGGGCGCGGGAUUUGUAGGACCGCCGCCCCGCUCCAGGCCCGAUCCCGCGAGGCGCAGAGGCUCUCGGGGCCGCGGCGUCCCCUGCGCGCGGGACGCCGGGCCUGGGACGGCGGGUGCGGGCACAGGCCGUCCUCCCCGUGCGCAGGGUGACCCGCGUUCGGUCGAUAAUGUUCAACCACUGAAGACCUUAUGAAAAAAGCAGUACGCCGAGAAGGCACACAAAAUCUACCAUCAAGACUUCAACACCAAGGCUUCCAUCGCAUUGUUCUAGAACAAAGCUGCGAGUCUGGAAAUGGAACACAGCAAGGAUGUGCGCCAUGGCUGCUGGGCUGGCAAUUAGUGUCCUCACUUAGUCAGGCCAAGCCAAUUGGACCUUUAACUGACCUCUGUGUUCAACAAAAAAGUCAACUAAUGUCCUGGUAACAGUUGCUGAAGUAUGGAAGAAAAACGCAGGGAUCCAAAGAAUGGCCCCAUCGAGCUUUUUUAAACUGAGGAA